rnacentral:piRNA from 1 species
AGGGAAGAAGAAUCACCAAUAUGCUUGUGU